UACGUAGGGGGCAAGCGUUAUCCGGAUUUACUGGGUGUAAAGGGAGCGUAGACGGCGGUGCAAGCCAGAUGUGAAAGCCCGGGGCUCAACCCCGGGACUGCAUUUGGAACUGUGCUGCUAGAGUGUCGGAGAGGUAAGUGGAAUUCCUAGUGUAGCGGUGAAAUGCGUAGAUAUUAGGAGGAACACCAGUGGCGAAGGCGGCCUGCUGGACGAUGACUGACGCUCAGGCACGAAAGUGUGGGUAUCGAACAGG
rnacentral:rRNA from 1 species